AACCUCCUUCGGGAGGGGAUUAGUGGCGAACGGGUGAGUAACACGUGGGCAAUCUGCCCUGCACUCUGGGACAAGCCCUGGAAACGGGGUCUAAUACCGGAUACGACCACUGAGGGCAUCCUCGGUGGUGGAAAGCUCCGGCGGUGCAGGAUGAGCCCGCGGCCUAUCAGCUUGUUGGUGGGGUGAUGGCCUACCAAGGCGACGACGGGUAGCCGGCCUGAGAGGGCGACCGGCCACACUGGGACUGAGACACGGCCCAGACUCCUACGGGAGGCAGCAGUGGGGAAUAUUGCACAAUGGGCGAAAGCCUGAUGCAGCGACGCCGCGUGAGGGAUGACGGCCUUCGGGUUGUAAACCUCUUUCAGCAGGGAAGAAGCGAAAGUGACGGUACCUGCAGAAGAAGCGCCGGCUAACUACGUGCCAGCAGCCGCGGUAAUACGUAGGGCGCGAGCGUUGUCCGGAAUUAUUGGGCGUAAAGAGCUCGUAGGCGGCUUGUCACGUCGGUUGUGAAAGCCCGGGGCUUAACCCCGGGUCUGCAGUCGAUACGGGCAGGCUAGAGUUCGGUAGGGGAGAUCGGAAUUCCUGGUGUAGCGGUGAAAUGCGCAGAUAUCAGGAGGAACACCGGUGGCGAAGGCGGAUCUCUGGGCCGAUACUGACGCUGAG
rnacentral:rRNA from 1 species